CGCAGCUCCGCCCCGUGUCCUGACGGCGCGCUGACGGAGCAGGGCCCGGCCCCGGCGCGGGCGGGAGCGCGGGAAGGCUCGAAGUGGAGGCUGGGACGGGCCGUGAGGGAAGAAGAAAAAUGCCGUCAGCACAAAAGCCAAUGCGGUAUGGACACACGGAGGGACACACAGACGUGUGCUUUGAUGACAGCAGCAGCUGCAUCGUAACUUGCGGCAGUGAUGGAGAUGUUAGGAUUUGGGAAAACCUGGAUGAUGAUGAUCCAAAGUCCAUUAAUGUUGGAGAGAGAGCUUAUUCAUGUGCUCUGAAGAAUGGCAGAUUGAUCACAGCAGUAUCAAACAACACUGUUCAGAUACACACGUUUCCUGAAGGAGCUCCAGAUGGCAUCCUUACUCGUUUUACCACGAAUGCAAACCACGUUGUCUUUAAUAGUGAUGGUACCAGAAUUGCUGCUGGAUCUAGUGACUUCAUGGUCAAAGUUGUGGAGGUGGCUGACAGCAGCAAACAGAAAACGUUCCGAGGACAUGAUGCACCUGUUUUAAGCCUGUCUUUUGACCCCAUGGAUAUUUAUCUGGCAUCAGCAAGCUGCGAUGGUUCUGUCAGAGUAUGGAAAGUGGAAGAUCAGACAUGCGUGACAAACUGGCUGCUGCUGCAGAAAUGUAAUGAUGUGAUAAAUGCUAAAUCCAUAUGCAGGCUUGCCUGGCAACCUGGCAGUGCCAAGCUGCUGGCAAUUCCUGUAGACAAAGUUGUUAAACUAUACAGAAGAGAAACCUGGGAUAAUCAAGUUGAUCUAUCAGAUACUUCCAUCACUCAGCCCCUGAAUGUUGUGGUGUGGUCUCCCUGUGGGCAGUACCUGGCAGCUGGAAGUGUGAAUGGGAGUAUAGUGGUGUGGAAGGUGGAAACCCAGGAGUGCAUAGAGAGGAUGAAGCAUGAGAAAAGUUACUCGAUUUGUGGACUGGCAUGGCAUCCCAAAUAUGAGCAAAUAGCUUACACAGAUACUGAAGGAAAUCUGGGCUUGUGGGAGGAUAUCGGUGGUGGAAAGAAACCAAACGACGAGGUUGCCAAUACUGUUACGAAAGACUAUGAAGAUCUCUUUGAUGGAGAUGAUGAUGACUAUUUAAAUGGAGAUAUGAUUGAACCACAAUCUUCCCCAAACACUGGAGCUAAUGAAGAUCAUGGUGAUGAUGAUGACCUUAUGCCAACAUCAGGCCAUCCAAGACGGGCAAUAAUUGAUGAUGAUGAUAACUCAUUAGAUAUUGGAAUGAUAAAAGCUAGUUCCAAUCUACUUGAAAAGGAGGAGGAUGAUGAUGAUGAUCAGAUUGGUGGCUUUCCAGCUUUGCCAACAUCAUCUACACAGCAGCCUUUCUAUGAUGGGCCAAGGCCAACCCCCAGGCAAAAGCCAUUCCAGUCUGGCUCCACUCCUGUGCAUCUCAUGCACCGCUUCAUGGUUUGGAAUUCUGUUGGUAUCAUUCGUUGUUACAACGAUGAACAAGACAACGCUAUUGAUAUAGAAUUCCAUGAUACCUCCAUACAUCAUGCCACACACCUCCCUAACUCCCUGAACCACACCAUGGCCGACCUCUCUACUGAAGCUAUUUUAUUGGCCUGUGAGAGUACAGAGGAACUCGCAAGCAAACUCCACUGCAUUCACUUUAGCUCCUGGGAUGCAAACAAGGAGUGGACAGUAGAUAUGCCAAAGGAUGAAGAUAUUGAAGCUAUCUGUCUAGGUCAGGGCUGGGCUGCUUGUGCCACUAGUGCCUUGCUGGUUCGACUGUUUACAGUUGGAGGAGUUCAGAAAGAGAUAUUCUGUCUCCCAGGUCCAGUGGUGUCUAUGGCAGGGCACGGAGAGCAGCUGAUGAUUAUUUACCACAGAGGUACUGGAUUUGAUGGAGAGCAGUGCCUUGGGGUACAGCUGAUGGAGCUAGGAAAGAAGAAGAAACAAAUUUUGCACGGAGACCCUCUUUCUCUUACACAGAAGUCCUAUUUGGUGUGGGCUGGAUUCUCAGCAGAAGGUACCCCGUGUUACGUGGAUUCUGAGGGAAUUGUGAGGAUGUUGAACCGAGCACUUGGGAACACUUGGAUUCCGGUGUGUAACACACGAGAGCAUUGCAAAGGAAAAUCUGAUCACUACUGGGUCGUUGGCAUCCAUGAAAACCCCCAGCAGCUGAGGUGUAUUCCUUGCAAAGGAGCCCGAUUCCCUCCAACACUUCCACGUCCUGCAGUGGCAAUAUUAUCUUUUACGCUCCCUUACUGCCAAGUUACAACAGAAAAGGGACAGAUGGAGGAGCAAUACUGGCGUUCAGUUGUAUUUCACAACUAUGUGGAUUACUUAUCAAAAAAUGGCUAUGAGCUUGAUGAAAAUGCUAAAAGUCAGCCAGUGAAGGAACAGCAGGAACUUCUGAUGAAAUUGUUUGCUCUUUCUUGUAAACUGGAGCGUGAAUUCCGCUGUGUGGAGCUUGCUGACCUCAUGACACAAAAUGCUGUGAGUUUAGCCAUCAAGUAUGCAUCCCGCUCACGAAGACUCAAUUUAGCUGAGCGACUCAGCGAGGUGGCUGUAGAGAAAGCAAGUGAACUGGCAACAGCCCUGGAGGAUGAGGAGGAGGAGGAGGAUUUCCCAACUCACGUGAAUGCUGGUUACAGCACCUCUGCCACAGAGUGGGGCCGGCUGCCAGGCAGAAGUGCUCAGCAGGACCAAGAGAUGGAAGAGGCUGAGGAAACGGAUGGGUGUGAGGAGGCAGAAGGAGUGCCUGAAGUGCCUAAACAGAGGCCAAAUCCUUUCUCCAAAGCAGUCUCUGCAGCAGAGGUGAUUACUCCUAAGUCUGCUGUAAUUGCAUCAAGCAGCCAAGGACGAGUGAAUCCCUUCAAGGUCUCAUCCAGCAAAAAGGACCCUUUGGUCCCCUCAGCAAAUGUUCUAGACACUAUGAGCAAAUACUCAAAGAAAAUUUCUAGCAGUCGAGCUGUAAACAAGCAGAGCCCUCCAGUUAUAAAGCCUCUGAUUCCUAAGCCAAAGUCCAAGCAGGCUUCAGCAGCGUCCUUCUUCCAGGUACGCACAGCCAGCUGCAGUGAAAAAAGAGUGGGAGAAAGAGAAGAAAAAGCAGGAAAUGAGCCCCCUGUGGUCCAAGUCACUGCACAGGACAACACAGAAAACAAAAGACCAAAGACAGGUUUCCAGAUGUGGCUAGAAGAGAACAGAGCAAACAUUUUAACAGAUAAUCCUGGUCUGAAUGAAUCAGAAGUAAUAAAAGAAGGCAUGAGUCGGUUUAGGAUUCUGUCAACAGAAGAAAGAAUGGUGUGGACUGAGAAAGCAAAAGGUGGAGCAGGAAAUGAUUUCACAGAAGAUAAAAAACGGAAGCGUCCCACAGCUGCUGAAGAUGAGGCGAAAAAGAAUGAGGAGCAAAAAUCAGAGGAGUCAAAUGUAUCCAAAAAGAAGAAGCCUUUAGAUCAAUCAACCAACGUCAGACUGUCAUCUUUUGCAUUCAAGCAGACCUAAAUAAUACCAGCAGAGCUGGUACCUCCUCAGCAUCUGCUUUCUCAGUGCAGUUAUGCAGUGUUUUCAGAAAUGUGCUGCUGCACCCAAAGAGCACUAACAAAAAAGGAGUGCCUUGCUCCAAAUGUUUUUAGAAAGUAUUUUGUGAUGGACUCUUUAGAGAAAUGUUGAAUCCAUUCAUCAGGUCUCUUUGCAAGUUGCUAGUGUAAAGACAGACAGAAGAACUAAUGGACCUGUUACCUAGAAGUGCAGUGCCACAGUUUUGUGCAGCCAUGUGUCUGCACGCUCAUAAUAUUUGGUGCUAAAUAUGGGUGAGUUGUUUUGGGGAGCAUAUGCUAUGUACAAAACUGUCCUGUGGUUUUAGAGCCGUGGCUUCUCUGCCAUUCCUUCUGCCUGCUGCAAACACUUGUAAGAGAAGGACAGUGCAAGGAAUGAGAAGGAGAGGAAGAUGAUGACUUAACAUCUUGAUGGUCAGCUGCAGUGUCAGCAUGUGAGGCAGUCACUGAGAAGCCUGACCCAGGCUGGGACAGCAAACCAGGGCAGAGGGACUGCAUUGACACAGCAGAAAAUCCAGAAGAGUAGUGGGAUAUUCCAACAGUUGUCUGCAUACUUUGAGAAGAAAUGAUGGUAUUGAUGGCUGUACAGGAUGAGUGUUUUAGGCAGCAAGGCAUAUUUCAGCAUUUGGGUUUACUGAAGAACAACAGGAUAGCAGUGGUAAGAAAAACAUCCUGAUAGAAAAUCACUGUGGGCUUAGUGAACUGUGUAAUGUUGUUUUUCUGCUGGACUGGGUAAUUGUGAUGACAGUUUAGAGUCCUCAUCAUGGUCCUGGGAGAUGGGGUGAGUGGGAAUGGACAACGUUUCUUUUUUUCUUCGUAUUCAAACUGAGCUACCUGCCCAGUGUCCUUUUAUGCAGGCCAAAAUACAAGAAGAAAUUAAGUCUCCAGGGCUCCCUCAUGAAGGCUGCAUCGUGUACUUGUGCAAUGCAUUGAUAUCUUGGGCUCAUGACAUUGAAGUCCUUUGCAGGCUCAAAAGGUGAACUGAAAAAUCAGGUAGAUAAGAAAAGAGUCUGGAACUGGCUUAGAAAUGUACUCUGUGUCCCAAAUUAUGAUAGGAAAACAAAACAAAACAUUUUAAUGACUAAGAUGGAAAUCCCUCUUUGAGAAGCAGAAUGUUCAGAUUGGAUGACUGUGGGAAUAUCUGGGCACGUGUCAGUGAAUUAUUUCUAUCUUAUUCCUCCUGAGCAGGAUGCUGACUGGUAGCUUCUGAUGCAGUGGCAUUGUUUUGGAGGGAAAAAGAGUGCUGCUGAUGAAAGAGAAACAGAACCAAGCUGGUCUGUAGAUCCAGCUGUUGGGUCUCUGUUUGCUGUGUCACAUCUUCAAAUUGCACAAAUCCAGCACAGUUCCUGCUCUGCAAUGGAAGCAGGACUUAAUUCCCAGCUGUGGGGCUCUGUGCUCACCCCAAGCCUGCAGUGCAGCAAUGGAAAGCACUGCUGCAUCUCAGCCUGCUCCCCUGCUACUGUCACAGCUCCUUUCCACAUCCCGGGAGCACAAAGCAUCUCCUCUCCCUCACUCUACUUCUGACUGCUGCAUUCUUCCAUUUCAUCAUGUUAUUUGACCUUAAAGACAAUCCCCAUGCCAAAACCUGCUGUCUUGUUUUGCACGUGAGGUAUUCUGUUGUACAUCAACAGAUCAAGUUGUGCAACACGUCCAGCCUUGCAAGACAGAUACAACUGCCAAAAACCAGCAAAAAAGACUCAUAGCAGAGGGUGCAGCCUGCUGGCCUUUCAAAGCAGUGAGCAUCCACCUGAGCUCUGCAGCUGGAGAGCGUGGCAAGCCCUUUAUCUCUGGAGAAGAUCUAUAAAUGGACGACUUGGCGUGCUGGAGCAUUGCAGACCUGUUUGAUUUCAGAGGGAGUGCCAGGCUCACAGGAAGCCAGACAUUUAUUCUGAGAAAAGAACACUUGUACUGUAAAGCAAUAAGGUUUGUGUUCACCUCCCAAAGAGUAUUUUCUUUGGCUUUCCAAGCUUUGUAAUAUAAUUCUGCUGCAAAGGAAAACAAUGGCCCAACUCAUUCGUUUACUUAGAGGCAGGCACCACGCUGAUCUUUACCUGGGCUGUGAAGAGCCA